CACAGGUGUGAGCGGGGCGGGGCCGACACAGGUGCGCGGCGCUCCAGGGCGGCUGCGCGGGGCGGGGCCGAGGGCAUUUAAACCCCGGGCGCCGCCUCAGGCGCCAUUUUCCGCCCAGCGCCCGGCGGUGCCGCGCGCUGCCGGUGCGGGCUCCUCAGGCGGGGCUCGGUCCUGUCCGUGCCUGUCGGUCUGUGUGUGCCGCAGCCGCGGGGUUCGGGGUGCCGGAUAAUAAAGCCCCGAGGGCCGGAGCCGGCGCCCCUCUCUCGGUUGCCGCGGGCCGGGCCCGCUGUGCGGGUCCCCCCGGCAGCUGCCAGCGCCGCCCGCAGUGCGGCUGCGGCUGUGCCCGCACCGCCCGGGGCCAGGGCGGGCCCUGC